GAGUGUGAUCAUAUUGGCACUAAAGCACCGGAUCCCAUCAGAACUCCGAAGUUAAGCGUGCUUGGGCGAGAGUAGUACUUGGAUGGGUGACCCCGUGUUGCACUCC
rnacentral:rRNA from 15 species